GGGUUGUGAGGUUAAGCGACUAAGCGUACACGGUGGAUGCCCUGGCAGUCAGAGGCGAUGAAGGGCGUGCUAAUCUGCGAUAAGCGCCGGUAAGGUGAUAUGAACCGUUAUAACCGGCGAUACCCGAAUGGGGAAACCCAGUGUGACUCGUCACACUAUCAUUAACUGAAUCCAUAGGUUAAUGAGGCGAACCGGGGGAACUGAAACAUCUAAGUACCCCGAGGAAAAGAAAUCAACCGAGAUUCCCCCAGUAGCGGCGAGCGAACGGGGAGGAGCCCAGAGCCUGAAUCAGCAUGUGUGUUAGUGGAAGCGUCUGGAAAGGCGCGCGAUACAGGGUGACAGCCCCGUACACAAAAGCGCAUGUGCUGUGAGCUCGAUGAGUAGGGCGGGACACGUGGUAUCCUGUCUGAAUAUGGGGGGACCAUCCUCCAAGGCUAAAUACUCCUGACUGACCGAUAGUGAACCAGUACCGUGAGGGAAAGGCGAAAAGAACCCCGGCGAGGGGAGUGAAAAAGAACCUGAAACCGUGUACGUACAAGCAGUGGGAGCCCCACCACCAAAGCAUUUGCUGUACCGCGUUGACGGAGCGAAGCGACGUCAAACCGAUAAAACAGCAGUGUAAAGUGAGCCGCAGGGCGCUUUGCGCGACAGCGCAAAGGCAGGCGGUUUCGCGUAGCGAAAGCGAAUGCUUUGGGGUGGGGUGACUGCGUACCUUUUGUAUAAUGGGUCAGCGACUUAUAUUCUGUAGCAAGGUUAACCGAAUAGGGGAGCCGGAGGGAAACCGAGUCUUAAUUGGGCGUUAAGUUGCAGGGUAUAGACCCGAAACCCGGUGAUCUAGCCAUGGGCAGGUUGAAGGUUGGGUAACACUAACUGGAGGACCGAACCGACUAAUGUUGAAAAAUUAGCGGAUGACCUGUGGCUGGGGGUGAAAGGCCAAUCAAACCGGGAGAUAGCUGGUUCUCCCCGAAAGCUAUUUAGGUAGCGCCUCGUGAAUUCAUCUCCGGGGGUAGAGCACUGUUUCGGCUAGGGGGCCAUCCCGGCUUACCAACCCGAUGCAAACUGCGAAUACCGGAGAAUGUUAUCACGGGAGACACACGGCGGGUGCUAACGUCCGUCGUGAAGAGGGAAACAACCCAGACCGCCAGCUAAGGUCCCAAAGUCAUGGUUAAGUGGGAAACGAUGUGGGAAGGCCCAGACAGCCAGGAUGUUGGCUUAGAAGCAGCCAUCAUUUAAAGAAAGCGUAAUAGCUCACUGGUCGAGUCGGCCUGCGCGGAAGAUGUAACGGGGCUAAACCAUGCACCGAAGCUGCGGCAGCGAACGUAUCACUUAAAGCGAUUCAGCGGGUUACGAUUGACGGAGCGAAGCGACGUCAAAGCGUAUACAAAGUCGAGUCGGUU
rnacentral:rRNA from 1 species